UUUAGACAAAACAGAUUGUCUGUUUGUCUCUCUCUCUCUAACCCAAACAAACCAAACAAAAUGGAGAAAUCAGAAGGAGAAGGGUGCUUGUUCAAAAUAGUGGUGAUUGGGGACUCAGCGGUGGGAAAAUUGAACUUGCUUUCACGAUUUGCGAGAGACGAGUUCGAUUUGCACUCAAAAGCCACAGUGGGAGUAGAGUUUCAGACCCAGGUGAUGGAGCUUGAUGGCAAGGAGAUCAAAGCCCAGGUCUGGGACACCGCCGGCUAAGAGUGCUUCCGCGCUGUCACCUCCGCCUACUACAGAGGCGCUGUUGGUGCUCUCAUCGUCUACGAUAUCACUCGUCGGACUACUUUCGAUAGCAUCAAGCGGUGGCUCAAUGAACUCAAGAGUGAGUCAAUUAUAUUUUAAUCAAUCUAUUUAUUAGUUGUUCUGUUUUGUGGGUUUGAUUGCUUGUUAUUGAAGUUGUUGCUGUAAAUCUGAAUUUGUGUUUGAAUAAACAUUUUGGCUGUUUUAAUGAUUUUGAAAUUGAAACCCCAAGUAGUGGAUUUUUCUGGAUUUUUCUGGUUUUUGGAGUUGACAUACACCCAGGUAUGGUUUUUCUUGAUUCUAUUUAUUGCCAAUUGUGUGCUGUUAGUUAUCUCAUUAGUCAAUUUAUUGAGAAGUAGACUGACUUCUUCUUAGAUGUCAGGCACAGUUUAAAAACAGCAAGAAAUUAUCUUUUAAAUUAUUGGGACAGAAUUCUUACAUUUUUAUUUUCUAGAAUUUUUUUCAUGGAACCAAUUGAAGAGAAGUUAGGCGUUACUUUGGUAAAACUUUGAUAGAUUAUAGAUUCAAGUGCAAAGAAAAUGAUUGUUUCUGCCACAAAUUAAGACUAAUGCACUUUACCUUUUUUUUUUUUUUUUUUCCCCCUUCAUUUGACUGUUUGUAUCUAUUUGAGAGUGUGAAAGGCUUCUUACUAAUAAGGCAUUGUGAGGGAAAAUUUACCCUAUUUUUUCUUCAUAUCUGGUAAUUGUGUACAGCUGCAAAAAUUGGAGAGGGAAUACUGUUAGAUCAUGGGACGGGUGUAGUUGUUGGCGAAACUACUGUUAUAAGGAAUAGAGUUUCACUGAUGCUGGUGAACUAGCUUUUUUCCUCCUUUCUUUCACCAUUUAUCUUAUAGAUGAGUCUGUCGACAUCCUUGCAAACUAGCGAAUAAUGACUGGAAAGUAGAUGACUAAUUUUUAUAUCUUCUCUCUUUUCCUGAUGACUAAUUUAUUGAAUUCGUUUGUUGCUGGGACUGAAGGAAAGUUAUAAUUACAUUUAAAAAAAUUAUUGCAAAAAAAUCUUGCAAACGGUAAUGUGCAAAUAAAGCUUGAAAUUGAUAACAUAACCAAUUAAAUGAGACUGAAUAUUGCCAUUUUACAAAGUGUGAAGCUAUUUGCAAUGAAACAUGGAUGAAGUUGGUUGACUCUUAGAUACAGAUGGGUCAGAGAUAUGAUCCUUGGUAAAUGCAAAUGGUGGAGAAGGUUUUAUGGAGGUGAUUUAGAAUUGCUUGGCUAUAACACUGUAUUGAAGUAAGUGAUCUUAAUGAUAAUGGACUUUCUUUUUUUGGGUUUUAUUCUGUGAUACUACUUUUGUUUAGAUGCCUUUUUAUUUUGCCUAGUCCCCCCGACCUAGAGGCCUAAGGUUCAUAAAGGAUACUUUCGUGUUUCAUAUUUGCAGUAUUGUAUCUUUCCUUUCCUACUUGAAAUGACGAAAACACCAUGCAAACGAGAGAAUUUAUUUCUGAAAUUUUAAAUUAGAUAUGAAAUUUGGGAUCUUCCUUUAAGGGAGGAUGUGUGAGACUCUAUCAUUGAAAGAUUUCAGGGACAGUUGAUGGAUUGGAACUUGCAAGAAAUAUUAUUUAUCCAAAGGAGGUGCGCUAACACUAAUCAAAAUUAAUAGCUUGCUGACUUAUUUUAUGCCUUUGUCUACUAUCCCAAUUUCAGUUGCGAAGAGGCUUAGAAUAUGUAGAGGGAUUUUUUUGUGGUCUCUUCCUUCUUAUUCAUCAUUAAUUUUUGUAGUGCUAUUGAAGAGGAACUAGUGGGCAAAGAGCAAAACUUAGGGCCUAGGGGUGUGCUCCCUCCAGGCCUCAAGUUCAAACUUGAAGUUUUGAUGGGUCUUAUUUGUGUUGGAGGCCUUUACUAGCUUCCUCCAGAAAUUGCACAUCAUCUUGAAAUGGUUCGCAUAAUGUUGCAGAAAUUACAAUGUAACAUUUUCAUGCUUUCCUACAAAGGUUAUGGGGCUAGUGAUGGCUACCCUUCUCAACAUGGUAUCACAAAGGAUGCUCAGAUUUGUUUUGCAGUUGACAUUUUUCAUUCAGUUAUGAUCUUCUUUAUACAUUUUGAUUCCAUCAAAUCUUAAUGGACAUGCUUCCCUUUCUUUUCAUUAGGCUGCAUUGGAUCAUCUAGCUCAAACCUUAAAAGGACUGACAUUCCAUAUUUUGCUAAAUAACUUUUCAAGUCGUAAACCUGGUCAGAUUGGUAAUCUGAGCCUUUACAUUUUGUGAUUUUGAAAAUUCAUUAUAAAGUGAGAGUAGAUAAAUUAUUGGAUAGAUAUAGUAUUGCACUAAGAAUGACCUAUAAUUGAGACAUUAAUGGACUGACAAAUAGGAUCCAUUAGCUAGUACAUUUUAUGGGUCUUUGAAAUCAUUAUUACAUUUUGGAAGUUUCCUGGAUAAUUUCAUGUUAGUGCUGCUCUUUUUGUGCAUUUAGCACGAGUAGCAGCUCCUUCUGUUGUUACUGUACUUGCGUUUGAUAGGUAGUCUGGGCUUGCCUAAUUAAGUAAAUUAUUGUAAUUGAUUUCAGAGUGUUAAAUCCCUGUAUUUUUUUUCUU